CAACAUCAGGGAAGCCUCGCGGAUAUUUUAUUAAAGGGACGCUACUCCAAACUGUUAGCUUUUCCCAGAGGGCGCUCACAUUCUUCGAGCAGACGACGCGACAUGAUCACAAGCUUGGCCAUCGGAGUACAGGUUUCCUCGAAUAUAUAGCGGUGAUGUUUACAGCUUGUGGCAACAUAUUCACGUGAAGAACAGAACAUGAAGGAGUGGUGAUUCCAACUGCUGUACCCAUACAAAAGAGGCCAAGGCAUAAGCACAGACCUUGUAUACAGAUGAAGAUCUCCUGUGAAUAUUUCUUUCUCCUCCUCAUCUGAUAACUGAAAAUAUAAGGAUGCCCUGCCACUAAGUCCAAGUCCUGAUUUGUAAUUUAAGAGAUAAAUUAAGGUCAUCUAAACCAGAAUUAUCUUUUGUUCAUUUUGUUGCUGUCAUCAUCAAACUUUUAACUGAUCAAGAAAAUGGAUUGUGGGGCAUCAGAUGCAGAGACUAUUUUGCUGCUCUCACUCU